rnacentral:rRNA from 1 species
GUGGGGAAUCUUGCGCAAUGGGCGAAAGCCUGACGCAGCCAUGCCGCGUGAAUGAUGAAGGUCUUAGGAUUGUAAAAUUCUUUCACCGGGGACGAUAAUGACGGUACCCGGAGAAGAAGCCCCGGCUAACUUCGUGCCAGCAGCCGCGGUAAUACGAAGGGGGCGAGCGUUGCUCGGAAUUACUGGGCGUAAAGGUCGCGUAGGCGGACAGUUUAGUCAGAGGUGAAAGCCCAGGGCUAAACGUGGGAAUUGCCUUUGAUACUGGCUGACUUGAUGACGGGAGAGGUGAGUGGAACUCCGGGUGGAGAGGUGAAAUUCGUAGAUAUUCGGAAGAACACCAGUGGCGAAGGCGACUCACUGGCCCGUUACUGACGCUGAGGCGCGACAGCGUGGGGAGCAAACAGGAUUAGAAACCCCAGUAGUCC